rnacentral:rRNA from 1 species
UACGGAAGGGGCAAGCGUUGUUCGGAAUCAUUGGGCGUAAAGGGCGCGUAGGUGGUUCUGUAUGUCUACCGUGAAAGCAUACAGCUCAACUGUAUUUUGUCGGUAGAAACGGCAGGACUUGAGGCUGGGAGGGGCUGGUGGAAUUCCCUGUGUAGCGGUGAAAUGCGUAGAGAUGGGGGAGAACACUCGUGGCGAAGGCGGCCAGCUAGACCAGUUCUGACACUGAGGCGCGACAGCGUGGGGAGCAAACAGG